rnacentral:rRNA from 1 species
UACGAUGGGGACUAGCGUUGUUCGGAAUUACUGGGCGUAAAGCGCACGUAGGCGGAUUAGUCAGUCAGAGGUGAAAUCCCGGGGCUCAACCUCGGAACUGCCUUUGAUACAGCUAGUCUAGAAUCCGGUAGAGGUGGGUGGAAUUCCUAGUGUAGAGGUGAAAUUCGUAGAUAUUAGGAAGAACACCGGUGGCGAAGGCGGCCCACUGGACCGGUACUGACGCUGAGGUGCGAAAGCGUGGGGAGCAAACAGG